CCUACGGGAGGCAGCAGUAGGGAAUAUUGGUCAAUGGGUGAGAGCCUGAACCAGCCAUGCCGCGUGCAGGAAGAAGGCCUUCUGGGUUGUAAACUGCUUUUGCCAGGGGAUAAAAAUACCUUGCGAGGUAAAUUGAAGGUACCUGGUGAAUGAGCCACGGCUAACUACGUGCCAGCAGCCGCGGUAAUACGUAGGUGGCAAGCGUUGUCCGGAUUUAUUGGGUUUAAAGGGUGCGUAGGCGGCCCUGUAAGUCAGUGCUGAAAUAUCCCAGCUUAACUGGGAGGGUGGCAUUGAUACUGCGGGGCUAGAGUACAGAUGAGGUAGGCGGAAUUGACGGUGUAGCGGUGAAAUGCUUAGAUAUCGUCAAGAACACCUAUAGCGAAGGCAGCUUACUAGGCUGUAACUGACGCUGAGGCACGAAAGUGUGGGGAUCAAACGGGAUUAGAUACCCUGGUAGUCCACACUGUAAACGUUGAUUACUCGCUGUGUGCGAUAUACAGUACGCGGCCAAGCGAAAGCGCUAAGUAAUCCACCUGGGGAGUACGCCGGCAACGGUGAAACUCAAAGGAAUUGACGG
rnacentral:rRNA from 1 species